rnacentral:rRNA from 1 species
GACGAACGCUGGCGGCGUGCCUAACACAUGCAAGUCGAACGGGGUUGAGUGCUUCGGUAUUCAACUUAGUGGCGAACGGGUGAGUAACGCGUGAAGAACCUGCCUUUCAGUGGGGGACAACAGUUGGAAACGACUGCUAAUACCGCAUAACACUGAUGAGGGGCAUCCCUUAUCAGUCAAAGCUUUAUGUGCUGAAAGAUGGCUUCGCGUCUGAUUAGCUUGUUGGCGGGGUAACGCCCACCAAGGCGACGAUCAGUAGCCGGUCUGAGAGGAUGAACGGCCACAUUGGGACUGAGAUACGGCCCAGACUCCUACGGGAGGCAGC